GAUGAACGCUGGCUACAGGCUUAACACAUGCAAGUCGAGGGGAAACGACCGGGCAGCUUGCUUCUCCGGGCGUCGACCGGCGCACGGGUGAGUAACGCGUAUCCAACCUGCCUCUGACUGAGGGCCAACCCGUCGAAAGUCGGCCUAAUACCUCAUGGCAUCGUCCGCGGCUAUCCAACGACGAUUAAAGCUUUCAUCGGUCAGGGAUGGGGAUGCGUCUGAUUAGCUUGUUGGCGGGGUAACGGCCCACCAAGGCUACGAUCAGUAGGGGUUCUGAGAGGAAGGUCCCCCACAUGGGAACUGAGACACGGACCAAACUCCUACGGGAGGCAGCAGUGGGCGAUAUUGGGAAAUAGACUGUGGUCUGAGCCAAGCAUGGAGGGUGCAGAAAAGUGGCCGUAGGUGUUAUAAACUGCUUUUAUGCGAGGACAAAAGAGGGAGCGGGUCCUAGAGUGCAGGUACCGAAUAAAUAAGAACCGGCUAAUUUCAUG
rnacentral:rRNA from 1 species